rnacentral:rRNA from 1 species
GACGAACGCUGGCGGCGUGCUUAACACAUGCAAGUCGAACGGAAAGGCCUCUUUCGGGGGGUACUCGAGUGGCGAACGGGUGAGUAACACGUGAGUAACCUGCCCUUGACUUUGGGAUAACUUCAGGAAACUGGGGCUAAUACCGGAUAGGAGCUCCUGCUGCAUGGUGGGGGUUGGAAAGUUUCGGCGGUUGGGGAUGGACUCGCGGCUUAUCAGCUUUUUGUUGGGGUAGUGGCUUACCAAGGCUUUGACGGGUAGCCGGCCUGGGAGGGUGACCGGCCACAUUGGCACUGAGAGACGGCCCAGACGCCUACGGGGGGCAGCAGUGGGGAAGAUUGCACAAUGGGUGGAGGCCUGAUGCAGCAUCGCCGUGUGCGGGAUGACGGCCUUCGGGUUGUAAACCGCUUUCGCUCAUGACGAAGCUUUGUGUGACGGUAGUGGGUAAAGAAGCACCGGCUAACUACGUG